GUCCCGAGGGUAGCUUAGUGGACAUGGCAUCUGCCCGGUAAGCGGAACACUGUGGGUUUGAUUCCCAUCCCUGGACA